CCCUUAGAUGUUCUGGGCCGCACGCGCGCUACACUGUUCGACGCAGCGAGUCUUAACCUUGACCGAAAGGUUUGGGUAAUCUUCAGCAAAGUCGAACGUGAUGGGGAUCGAUCAUUGCAAUUAUUGAUCGUGAACGAGGAAUUCCUAGUAAGUGCAAGUCAUCAGCUUGCGCUGAUUACGUCCCUGCCCUUUGUACACACCGCCCGUCGCUACUACCGAUUGAAUGGUUUAGUGAGAUCUCUGGAUUGACGCUGGCUAGGGGGCGACCCUUGGCCAGACUGUUUAGAAACUGCUCAAACUUGAUCAUUUAGAGGAAGUAAAAGUCGUAACA
rnacentral:rRNA from 1 species